GUUCAGGACCUGCGGACUGGAGGAUGGCGACCAAACUUCCAGCAGCAACACCACCUCCAUUAGCGAUUGCCGCUGAUGACAUCAUACUGGCCCCCAGAGAACCAGCGGCUAUACCAGCUGAGGUGAAACCGGCUGCGAGCCCCUCCCAAAACAGCACCAGUAGCUCCGCCCACAGAUGCCACACCUGCUGUUGCACCUGCAGACAGCCCAGCAGCACCUGAUAAGAGAGAACAUUAACAUACAUCACAAUAAAGAAAUGUCCUAUACACAAAUACCUAAAUGAUGAAACAAAGUCAUAAUCUAAUCCAGUUCAAAUACACAGGAGAAUACAACUAUUGUGUACAAUAAAUAAAAAGUCCCCA